GCAUUGAUAGUUUAGUGACAGAGCAGUGGGACAGUGACCCAUGCCAUGCGGCUCGGGUUCGAGCCUCAGUCAAUGCA